GUUGAACAGUAGAUAGAAUUAGCAAAAAGUUUUGGGGGCCAAGUUCUUAGUGUUCAAGAGUCGGAAAGAGUUUGUGGGGUUGGCAAGGGGCUGCUUUGACUAAGAUUUCAACCUUAACUCCAUAGAGAAGAAAACAAGUGCUUGGUAUGAUCCAUUGAGAAGAGGUAAGAACAAAGAACGUGUCAACAUUCAAUGUUUGGUAUGAUCCAUAGAGAAGAAAACAAGUGCUUUCCUCAUAUCUUUUGUUUGGGUAGCUCUGGUUUUGCCGAGUCCAACUUUGACACAGCAUGUGCUCGCAGGUGAAGUAGCAGCGAGAUUGAGGCAUUGAACGGUUCAGCGCCACAAAAAUCACCUUUAUGUUGAAUGGUUCAUCGCUCACAAAAAUCACACGGAUCACAAAAAUCACAAAAUUUGAUCUGACAGCUGAAAUUGGUUGCGUUGAACCAAACAGCGCUGGACAAUGGUCCCAAAUGACGUGGACUGCUAAUCUAGGUGCUAAAUUAGCAAGGACGGGCCUAGCAAGGGGCUAAAUGAGGUUAUAGCCCGUCUCUGAUUUUGGGGUGAAAAAAUUUUAGUAUAAAAAUUUAGGUUAAAUUUUAUGUUUAACCCACAUAUUAGUUGUAGUUAGUUAACCGUAUAUGGUUUUUAGCGCAUACUAUGAGGUGAUCAAAAUUUAAGUCAUGUUUAAAGUAAAUAAUCUUCUUCCACUCAAUAUAUUUAUGUUCCUAUUUUCUUCUGU